GUCUCGGUAGCUCAGGGGAUAGAGCACUGCUCUCCUAAAGCAGGUGCCGCGCGUUCGAAUCGCGCUCGGGACACCA
rnacentral:tRNA from 1 species